rnacentral:tRNA from 1 species
AGGCUCGUGGCGAAGCAUGGAUAUCGCGGCUGCCUCCUAAGCAGAAGGUCGGGGGUUCAAAUCCCCUCGGGCCUG